CGUUUUCCUAAAUGGUUUGCUAUAUUUUCUUGCUGGGAUAUAACAGAGGUGCACCGAGCUGGGGUGUAAUAAAACCACACUCUCUUGAAAGAAGCGAAGCCAACCACCGCCUACUUCGUGAGUACGGCCUGGUCCUCGUCAACGAAGGCGACACCUGCGGGCCUCGACGGAGGAGCUGACGGAAGCACGACAGGGGCCUCAGGCCGACUGUGAGGAGCCCGUGGCGGUCCGGGCGCUGCGCCAUGGCGGCGUUGACAGAACCAAGGGAAGUAUGUGAAGCAAAAUCGUCCUGAUGCAAUUCUUCCAGUUACAAAGCUUAAAAACUAUGGAGAAGUCACGGAAGACAUUAUUUUAGAUGCACUAAGACGAGUUCUUAUUACAUACUCCACUUUGCAAGCACAUGAUGGACAUUGGCCUGGUUUCAGUGGGAUUCUUUUCAUCAUGCCUCUCAUGAUAUUUGCUUUAUAUGUCACUGGAUCACUCGAUAUGGUCAUAUCACCAGAGCAUAUACGUGAG